AUACUUCCCUGGUUGGGAAGACAUUAUAAUUAUGGAUUAAGUAAUAUUCUUUUCCUGGGUAAGGCUCAUCCAUUGUACUCUGGGUAUGUAGUCCUCUGAGAGUUCUCCAAAGGUGGAAAAAUUUACUUCAUAAUUCUUGGUAGUGGAUGUGGGAGGCCAGAUUCAC